rnacentral:rRNA from 1 species
AUUGAACGCUGGCGGCAUGCUUUACACAUGCAAGUCGAACGGUAACAGGCCGCAAGGUGCUGACGAGUGGCGAACGGGUGAGUAAUGCAUCGGAACGUGCCCAGUCGUGGGGGAUAACGCAGCGAAAGCUGCGCUAAUACCGCAUACGAUCUAUGGAUGAAAGCGGGGGACCGUAAGGCCUUGCGCGAUUGGAGCGGCCGAUGUCAGAUUAGGUAGUUGGUGGGGUAAAGGCUCACCAAGCCGACGAUCUGUAACUGCUCUGAGAGGACGACCAGCCACACUGGGCCUGAGGCACGGCCCAGACUCCUACGGGAGGCAGCAGUGGGGAAAUUUGGACAAUGGGGGCAACCCUGAUCCAGCAAUGCCGCGUGCAGGAAGAAGGCCUUCGGGUUGUAAACUGCUUUUGUACGGAACGAAACGGCUCUGGUUAAUACCCGGGGCUAAUGACGGUACCGUAAGAAUGAGCACCGGCUAACUACGUGCCAGCCGCCGCGGUAAGAC